GAAGAAGACACCGGCUAACUCCGUGCCAGCAGCCGCGGUAAUACGGAGGGUGCGAGCGUAAUCGGAAUUACUGGGCGUAAAGACGCAUGCAGGCGGCCGUCGUUAAGUCAGAUGUGAAAGACCCGGGGCGUUAACCCUCGGAAAUUGCAUUUGUAAACUAGGCAGGCUAGAGUCUUGUAGAGGGGGGUAGGAAGUUUCAGGUGUAGCGGUGAAAUGCGUAGAGAUCUGAAGGAAUACCAGUGGCGAAGGCGGCCCCCUCGGACAAAGACUGACGCUCAGAUGCGAAAGCGUGGGGAGCAAACAGGAUUAGAUACCCUGGUAG
rnacentral:rRNA from 1 species